AAUAGGUUCGAGGUGGAAGCAUGGCGACAUGUGGAGCUGACGAAUACUAAUCGAUCGAAGACUUAAUCAAUUU
rnacentral:rRNA from 1 species